AGCAGCCGCGGUAAUUCCAGCUCCAAUAGCGUAUAUUAAAGUUGUUGCAGUUAAAAAGCUCGUAGUUGAAUUUCGGGAUUAGUACGUUGGUCGUGCCUUCGGUACGUACUGGUGUUACUGGUUCCUACCUUCUGACGAACCAUCAUGUCAUUAAUUUGGUGUGGUGGGGAAUCAGGACUGUUACUUUGAAAAAAUUAGAGUGUUUAAAGCAGGCUCGCGCUUGAAUACAUUAGCAUGGAAUAAUGAAAUAGGACGUUGACCCUAUUUUGUUGGUUUCUAGGAUUGACGUAAUGAUUAAUAGGGAUAGUUGGGGGCAUUAGUAUUCAAUUGUCAGAGGUGAAAUUCUUGGAUUUAUUGAAGACUAACUACUGCGAAAGCAUUUGCCAAGGAUGUUUUCAUUAAUCAAGAACGAAAGUUAGGGGAUCGAAGACGAUCAGAUACCGUCGUAGUCUUAACCAUAAACUAUGCCGACUAGGGAUCGGAUGAUGUUAUUUUUAAUGACUCA
rnacentral:rRNA from 1 species